AAAAAUCUAAUAAGAACUUGAAUGGAGAGAGGCUGGGGCCAGGUAUUAAUACCUGUUGGUAUGGACCCCUGGUGAGGGCCCUACAUGCUAAUUGCACCUUCUCCUCUCUCCACAGUGGAAUAUCAGAACUAGUUUUGAUUCCACUAGGAGUCUAGUUACAGGCUGCUGAGCUCAAUUCACUUUGGGCCAAUGGUGUACCAGCACU